rnacentral:rRNA from 1 species
UAGGGAAUCUUCGGCAAUGGGGGCAACCCUGACCGAGCAACGCCGCGUGAGUGAAGAAGGUUUUCGGAUCGUAAAGCUCUGUUGUAAGAGAAGAGCGUGUGUGAGAGUGGAAAGUUCACACAGUGACGGUAACUUACCAGAAAGGGACGGCUAACUACGUGCCA